rnacentral:lncRNA from 1 species
CUAGCAACAGCUGCUGUGUACGUAGCUGACAUGCACAGCUUAAACCCUUAAACAAGAGCAAAAUGAAUCAUGAAGAAAUCUCUAAUACUAUUAUCCUGACUGCAAGACAAAAAUGCCACCUAUCAGAUAACUGGUACUAACUGAACAUCUUUUGGUGCAGGCAGUUGCUGGCAACAUGAGUUCGUGCUUUGACUGCUAAUUGCUGAGUUGUCUGCUUCCAGAAUACAAACAUUCUCCCAGGAGCUAAGAACAGGC